UGGGGAAUAUUGCACAAUGGGCGCAAGCCUGAUGCAGCCAUGCCGCGUGUGUGAAGAAGGCCUUCGGGUUGUAAAGCACUUUCAGCGGGGAGGAAGGCGAUAAGGUUAAUAACCUCAUCGAUUGACGUUACCCGCAGAAGAAGCACCGGCUAACUCCGUGCCAGCAGCCGCGGUAAUACGGAGGGUGCAAGCGUUAAUCGGAAUUACUGGGAGUAAAGCGCACGCAGGCGGUCUGUCAAGUCGGAUGUGAAAUCCCCGGGCGCAACCUGGGAACUGCAUUCGAAACUGGCAGGCUAGAGUCUUGUAGAGGGGGGUAGAAUUCCAGGUGUAGCGGUGAAAUGCGUAGAGAUCUGGAGGAAUACCGGUGGCGAAGGCGGCCCCCUGGACAAAGACUGACGCUCAGGUGCGAAAGCGUGGGGAGCAAACAGG
rnacentral:rRNA from 1 species